GACGAACGCUGGCGGCGCGCCUAACACAUGCAAGUCGAACGAGCGAGAGAGAGAGAGCUUGCUUUCUCAAGCGAGUGGCGAACGGGUGAGUAACGCGUGAGGAACCUGCCUCAAAGAGGGGGACAACAGUUGGAAACGACUGCUAAUACCGCAUAAGCCCACGACCCGGCAUCGGGUUGAGGGAAAAGGAGCAAUCCGCUUUGAGAUGGCCUCGCGUCCGAUUAGCUGGUUGGUGAGGUAACGGCCCACCAAGGCGACGAUCGGUAGCCGGACUGAGAGGUUGAACGGCCACAAGGGGACUGAGACACGGCCCUU
rnacentral:rRNA from 1 species